UGGAAUUGAACCUGGGGCCCUUCAGUCCGCAGGUUGACACUCUACUGAGCCAAAUGAGCUAGGGCUUAAAUGAAUGUUUUUGAACUUUUUAGAAAAAUUGACUAUUUUGAGGGGAGGGGGGAAACUUGAAAAAAUUGUUAAGCAACAAGUGUUUGUUGAGCACUCAUUCCACAUUCACCUAUGCUGAUGGUUCUCAGACGUUAGUGUGCCUCAGGAGAGCUUGUUGAGAGAGAUCACUGGACCCCUCAAUGUUUCUGAUUCAGUAGGUCUGGGGUGGAGUCUGAGAAGUUCCCAGAUGAUACCGGGUGGAGUAAAUAUUAUUUGGUGAUUUGGAAUAUUUAAUGGGCAAAGAAGUGAAUGAAUUAAAGAUACUUGCUUGUUACUGAAUUUGAGGGCCUAAAAAGAGUGAUGCUGUUGAGAAUAGACAUGUAUUGAUUAUGAUGGUGCAAAUGGAAAGGUACUAAAAAUUGGGAGACAUAGGAGUGGAAUAGAGGUGAGAGAUUUGAUUGUAGAUAUAGAUUUUGAAUUCGUAACAGAAAUGAUGGCUUUAAUAAUAAAUGGAUGGGCUUUCUAAAAGAAAGUUUAGACAGACAACCAAAUAUUAAGUAUUGGAGGCUACUGCUUGAAAAAUGUCCAUAGGAACAAGAAAGGAAGC